ACACCACGGAUGGUGACCCCAAAAGUCCAAACAGCGCCAGAUCCUCCGAUCUAUCUGAAACUUUCGACUGGUGGUUCAAUAAGCCCCAGCGUAACUCUAAAAAGAGCAGAUCGUCUCCAGUGAGUAGUUGUUGUGGCAGUAGUAGCCAGGGGCGAUCCAGUCCGGAUACGGAUAAUCCAGAGCCGCCAGAGUUUCCGCUGAGUCCAGGUUAGCAUGCCGCCAGGGUGUUUCGACCAUGUUCGUACACCUAUUGCCUUGACAUUGACAUGACACAUGUAAAUAAAAGUUAAUGCUCUUCCCUUUGA